rnacentral:rRNA from 1 species
AAAAUUAAUCAAGGGCACACGGUGGAUGCCUUGGGAUCUAGAGGCGAUGAAGGACGUGGUAAGCUGCGAUAAGCUUCGGGGAGCUGCAACGAGCGCUAAUCCGAAGAUUUCCGAAUGGGGCAACCCGGCAGAUGGAAGAUCUGUCACCGAAAGGAGCUAACCCAGUGAACUGAAACAUCUAAGUAGCUGGAGGAAAAGAAAAUAAUUAAUGAUUCCCUAAGUAGUGGCGAGCGAACGGGGAAGAGCCCAAACCAAUUAUGUUCCGGCAUAGUUGGGGUUGUAGGGCCGCGAUAUCGAAUGUACAUGCGAAGAAGAACACAACUGGAAAGUUGGGCCAUAGUGGGUGAUAGCCCCUUAAUCGUAUGCAUGUGUUAUUUGUAGCGGUACCCUGAGUAGGGCGGGACACGUGGAAUCCUGUCUGAAUCUACCAGGACCAUCUGGUAAGGCUAAAUACUCCUAGAUCACCGAUAGUGAACCAGUACCGUGAGGGAAAGGUGAAAAGUACCCUGAAUAAGGGAGUGAAAUAGUACCUGAAACCGUGUGCUUACAAGCGGUCGGAGCUUCUUCGUGAAGUGACGGCGUGCCUUUUGCAUAAUGAUCCUACGAGUUGCUCCUCACUAGCGAGGUUAAGGGCUGAAGGCCCGGAGCCGAAGCGAAAGCGAGUCUGAAUAGGGCGUAUAGUUAGUGGGGGCAGACGCGAAACCUAGUGAUCUACCCAUGGCCAGGGUGAAGCUUUGGUAACACAAAGUGGAGGCCCGAACCCGUUGACGUUGAAAAGUCUUGGGAUGAGCUGUGGGUAGGGGUGAAAGGCUAAUCAAACUGGGAAAUAGCUCGUACUCCCCGAAAUGUAUUUAGGUACAGCCUUGAGUGUAGUGUAUUAGAGGUAGAGCUACUGGUUGGAUGCGGGGGCUUCACCGCCUACCAAGUCCUGUCAAACUCCGAAUGCUAAUACAUGUUCCUCAGGAGUGAGGGCCGGGGUGCUAAGGUCACGGUCCGAGAGGGAAACAACCCAGAUCAUCUGCUAAGGUCCCAAAAUAUAUGCUAAGUUGAACAAACGAGGUCGGGCUGCUUUGACAGCUAGGAUGUUGGCUUGGAAGCAGCCAUUCAUUUAAAGAGUGCGUAACAGCUCACUAGUCGAGCGGCCUGGCAUGGACAAUAAUCGGGCAUUAAGCAUAUUACCGAAGCAAUGGGCUCGUAAGAGCGGUAGGGGAGCAUUCUGGUUGCGCCGAAGGUUGACCGUAAGGUUGGCUGGAGCGGCCAGAAAAGAAAAUGUAGGAAUAAGUAACGAUAAUGCAGGUGAGAAACCUGCACACCGUAAACCCAAGGUUUCCUCAGCAAUGCUAAUCAGCUGAGGGUUAGUCGGGACCUAAGGCGAACCCGAACGGGGUAGUCGAUGGAUAACUGGUUAAUAUUCCAGUACUCGCUUUAACUGCGAUGGGGUAACGAAGGUGUGACAGCUCCGCGUACUGACGGAAUAGUACGUUGAAGCCCGUAGGUAUAGGUUGGAUAGGCAAAUCCGUCCGACUUGCUGAAAGGUGAUAGUACUCCAAGGCUUCGGCUGCGGAGAUAGUGAGUGUAAUCAGACUUCCAAGAAAAACCUCUAAGCUUCAGGUUAAAGCGACUCGUACCGUAAACCGACACAGGUGGGUGAGGAGAGUAUCCUCAGGUGCUCGAGUGAAUCAUGGCUAAGGAACUAGGCAAAAUCGCCCCGUAACUUCGGGAGAAGGGGCGCCUCCGCGAGGAGGCCGCAGUGAAUAGGCCCAGGCGACUGUUUAGCAAAAACACAGGACUCUGCUAAAUCGAAAGAUGAUGUAUAGGGUCUGACACCUGCCCGGUGCUGGAAGGUUAAGAGGAGAUGUUAGCUUCGGCGAAGCAUUGAAUUGAAGCCCCAGUAAACGGCGGCCGUAACUAUAACGGUCCUAAGGUAGCGAAAUUCCUUGUCGGGU